UCUUCCUCUCUGUCCGGAGACAGAGACAGAGAGAGAGAGACAUCGAAGUCCGUCGCCGGCUAGGGUUUCGUCCGAUCCGACUCAGAGUCAGAGUCAGAGCCGGCGCGGCGCGGCGCGGCGAUGAACAACUCCGCCUCGCCGGCGGUGGACUGGGGGGACGAUUCCGCGGGGGAGAUGGACUCCGAGGACACCGCGGCCGCCGCCUCCAUGGGCAUGGUCGGCAUCGCCAGCAUGAUGGAGGUCGACGCCGACGACCGCCACCCACCGUCUACCGCCCCAUCCCUCCCCAUCGAUGCCGACUUCUUCAACGCCUUCCCAGACGACUUCGACGACCAAGACCUCGACUGACCGGCCGACCGACCAAUUAGGCCAGGUCGCCAGACACAGCUGAGCCGCCGGUGCAGUGCAGCGGCGCAGUUGUAGAUGAACCUACCACACCUACAUAUAACAUAUGGACAUGCCGUCUCGCUGCCAAGGAACCACAAGUCAACGAUCACCUUCUGCUGCAUAGUGUUGUAUUGUCAGCUAUGUUUUUGUACCAUUCGAAUUUUCGAUACCUGCCCUGGUUACUGCCAGCCGUAUGUACAAGAAUAAGAAUAUGUUCUGUUGUGUAGUACACAAGUUAAUGCAAAUGUUCUUGUUGGGUGGAUCAUUUGCACGAACGGGUGGAUCCUGCUUUUGAUAUAGUGAAUACAAAUCUGAACAUUUGCAUUAUAUUGAUGGAAUGACUUUAGGAGGAGUUGAUGACAAA